CAACAUUAGUGUGCGAUGGAAGGACGCUUAGGGCUAAGGGGGCUAGCGGAUGGAAGUGCUAGUCUAAGGUCGUAGGAGGUUAUACAGGCAAAUCCGUAUAACAAUACUCCGAGAACUGAAAGGCUUUUUGAAGUCUUCGGAUGGAUAGAAGAACCCCUGAUGCCGUCGAGCCAAGAAAAGUUUCUAAGUUUAGCUAAUGUUGCCCGUACCGUAAACCGACACAGGUGGGUGGGAUGAGUAUUCUAAGGCGCGUGGAAGAACUCUCUUUAAGGAACUCUGCAAAAUAGCACCGUAUCUUCGGUAUAAGGUGUGGUUAGCUUUGUAUUAGGAUUUACUCCGAAAGCAAGGAAACUUACAACAAAGAGUCCCUCCCGACUGUUUACCAAAAACACAGCACUCUGCUAACUCGUAAGAGGAUGUAUAGGGUGUGACGCCUGCCCGGUGCUCGAAGGUUAAUUGAUGGGGUUAGCAUUAGCGAAGCUCUUGAUCGAAGCCCGAGUAAACGGCGGCCGUAACUAUAACGGUCCUAAGGUAGCGAAAUUCCUUGUCGGUUAAAUACCGACCUGCAUGAAUGGCGUAACGAGAUGGGAGCUGUCUCAAAGAGGGAUCCAGUGAAAUUGUAGUGGAGGUGAAAAUUCCUCCUACCCGCGGCAAGACGGAAAGACCCCGUGGACCUUUACUACAGCUUGACACUGCUACUUGGAUAAGAAUGUGCAGGAUAGGUGGGAGGCUUUGAGUAUAUGACGCCAGUUGUAUAUGAGCCAUUGUUGAGAUACCACUCUUUCUUAUUUGGGUAGCUAACCAGCUUGAGUUAUCCUCAAGUGGGACAAUGUCUGGUGGGUAGUUUGACUGGGGCGGUCGCCUCCCAAAUAAUAACGGAGGCUUACAAAGGUUGGCUCAGAACGGUUGGAAAUCGUUCGUAGAGUAUAAAGGUAUAAGCCAGCUUAACUGCAAGACAUACAAGUCAAGCAGAGACGAAAGUCGGUCUUAGUGAUCCGGUGGUUCUGUGUGGAAGGGCCAUCGCUCAAAGGAUAAAAGGUACCCCGGGGAUAACAGGCUGAUCUCCCCCAAGAGCUCACAUCGACGGGGAGGUUUGGCACCUCGAUGUCGGCUCAUCGCAUCCUGGGGCUGGAGCAGGUCCCAAGGGUAUGGCUGUUCGCCAUUUAAAGCGGUACGCGAGCUGGGUUCAGAACGUCGUGAGACAGUUCGGUCCCUAUCUGCCGUGGGCGUAAGAAGAUUGAAGAGAUUUGACCCUAGUACGAGAGGACCGGGUUGAACAAACCACUGGUGUAGCUGUUGUUCUGCCAAGAGCAUCGCAGCGUAGCUAAGUUUGGAAAGGAUAAACGCUGAAAGCAUCUAAGCGUGAAGCCAACUCUAAGAUGAAUCUUCUCUAAGCUCUCUAGAAGACUACUAGUUUGAUAGGCUGGGUGUGUAAUGGAUGAAAGUCCUUUAGCUGACCAGUACUAAUAGAGCGUUUGGCUUAUCUUUAAUAAAGCAU
rnacentral:rRNA from 1 species